UGGGGGAUAUUGCACAAUGGGGGGAACCCUGAUGCAGCGACGCCGCGUGGGUGAAGAAGCGCCUCGGCGCGUAAAGCCCUGUCAGCAGGGAAGAAAAUGACGGUACCUGAAGAAGAAGCCCGGCUAACUACGUCGCC
rnacentral:rRNA from 1 species